GGGAGAUUUAUCAAAACUGGUGUAAAGUAGAACUGGCUUAGUUGCCCAUAGCAACCAAUCAGAUUCCACCUUUCAUUUUUUUGAGCUCCUUUGGAAGAUAAAAGGAGGAAGCUGAUUGGUUGCUAUGUUAAAUCUUCUCGUUUGA